UCUGCCUAGUAGUGGGGGAUAACUUGCCGAAAGGUAAGCUAAUACCGCAUACGUCCUACGGGAGAAAGCAGGGGACUCUUCGGGGCCUUGCGCUAUUAGAUGAGCCUAGGUCGGAUUAGUUAGUUGGUGAGGUAAUGGCUCACCAAGACCGCGAUCCGUAACUGGUCUGAGAGGAUGAUCAGUCACACUGGAACUGAGACACGGCCCAGACUCCUACGGGAGGCAGCAGUGGGGAAUAUUGGACAAUGGGGGGAACCCUGAUCCAGCCAUGCCGCGUGUGUGAAGAAGGCCUUCGGGUUGUAAAGCACUUUAAUUUGGGAGGAAGGGCUUACGGUUAAUAACCGCUAAGUUUUGACGUUACCAAAAGAAUAAGCACCGGCUAACUUCGUGCCAGCAGCCGCGGUAAUACGAAGGGUGCAAGCGUUAAUCGGAAUUACUGGGCGUAAAGCGCGCGUAGGUGGUUCAGUAAGUUAGGAGUGAAAGCCCCGGGCUCAACCUGGGAAUUGCUUCUAAAACUGCUGGGCUAGAGUACAGUAGAGGGUGGUGGAAUUUCCUGUGUAGCGGUGAAAUGCGUAGAUAUAGGAAGGAACAUCAGUGGCGAAGGCGACCCACUG
rnacentral:rRNA from 1 species